AAAGGCCUACCAAGGCGACGAUCCGUAGCGGGGUCUGAGAGGAUGAUCCGCCACGACUGGGACUGAGACACGGCCCAGACUCCUACGGGAGGCAGCAGUGGGGAAUUUUGGACAAUGGGCGCAAGCCUGAUCCAGCCAUGCGCGUGAGUGAAGAAGGGCCUUCGGGGUUGUAAAAGCUCUUUCGGCCGGGAAGAAAUCGCAUGGGUCAAUACCCUGUGUGGAUGACGGUACCGGAAUAAGAAGCACCGGCUAACUACGUGCCAGCAGCCGCGGUAAUACGUAGGGUGCGAGCGUUAAUCGGAAUUACUGGGCGUAAAGCGUGCGCAGGCGGUUUGGUAAGUCAGAUGUGAAAUCCCCGGGCUCAACCUGGGAACUGCAUUUGAGACUGCCAAGCUGGAGUUUGGCAGAGGGGGGUGGAAUUCCACGUGUAGCAGUGAAAUGCGUAGAGAUGUGGAGGAACACCGAUGGCGAAGGCAGCCCCCUGGGCCAAUACUGACGCUCAUGCACGAAAGCGUGGGG
rnacentral:rRNA from 1 species